rnacentral:sRNA from 1 species
GCUGGGCAUGGUGGCACACGCCUGUAAUCCCAGCAGUUUGGGAGGCUGAGGCAGAAGGAUCAUGAGUUCAAAUCCAGCUUCAGCAACUUAGCAAGGCCUCAAGCAAGACUCUGUCUCUA